UACAGAGGGUGCAAACGUUGCUCGGAGUUACUGGGCGUAAAGCGCGUGUAGGCGGUGCCGCACGUCCGGUGUGAAAGCCCAGGGCUCAACCCUGGAAGUGCACUGGAUACGACGGCGCUGGAGUCCUGAAGAGGAGGGCGGAAUUCCCGGUGUAGAGGUGAAAUUCGUAGAUAUCGGGGAGGAACACCAGUGGCGAAGGCGGCUCUCUGGACAGGUACUGACGCUGAGACGCGAAAGCGUGGGUAGCAAACAGG
rnacentral:rRNA from 1 species